rnacentral:lncRNA from 1 species
CCUCCUGCCAUCCUCAGCAUGAGCCAGCUGCAUGAGGGGUGCUGUGUGCUGGGCUGGAGGAUGGAGCCAUGUGCCACUCCCUCCGAGGCACGCUGUGAAGGGGCACUGAUGGAGGCAUUUUCCAAAGAACAGUGACAAGGACGGCCAGCACCUCUCUUGCAUUCCUCAGUCUGACUCAAGCUGCUCUUCCACCCUCCUCCCCAGCUGGAGCUGAGGCUGAAGGCAGUUGAGGGCCACCAGGGAGAAGAGCUGGGUCAGGGCCGUGACUUGCCAGCAAGCAUGAGGCCAAGCAGAUGUGCCGCUUCAGAGAAGUGAUUUUACCCUGAGCUACACAGGCAGGAAGACCACCAGCCUGGAAGCGUGGAACACAGACGCUCUGGGUGUUGAAGAGGAGGCUUCACCCUUAAAUCCACACCAACAGCCCCCUUCACUUCCCCCGGUGAAGAACGAAGGACCCUGUGGGAUUUCUACUUCAAAUCUCUCAUUUAUUCCGACAUCCACUCGGUUAUGACUCCAAGUUAUCAAAGAUGCAAGACAAGAAGUCUAGAGCAGGAGUGGUGAAGUGGAGGUGGAGAAAGACGGCGGAGAGGGCUGUGUUCCUGGCCCCUCCUUCUCUUCCAAUUUAGGGCACCGUUUGAAAAGUGUACAAGUAGUGUCCCUUAGCACAGACUAGACAGCAGAAAAGGACAGUGCGGCAGGACGUACGAAUGAUGUUAUUUCUGGCAAGGAGGACACGGCUGCUGUGGUUGAUUGGCUGUGGAAUUCCAGGGGAGCAAGGCACUAGGAAGUGGGGAACGCUGCCAGGCCCAGCAGCUCAUCAGGAGCUUGCACUUGGCCCAGUUAGGGCUGGCCGUGGGACGGGCUUGUUGAAGCUGCUGCCGCCAUAAGCUGCCCCUCUGCACCAGGAGACAGAUCCCAUUACCCCACCUACAGCUGCUUCCUGGUACAAGAGAAGAGUUACCAUUUGAAAUGACUCCACAGGAGAGUCUGACAAACAUGUUUGCUUUUCACUGACAAUUAAAAUUGUUUUGCUGCUA